AGAAAUCGAUAAGCAAUCCACCUGGGGAGUACGUUCGCAAGAAUGAAACUCAAAGGAAUUGACGGGGGCCCGCACAAGCGGAGGAACAUGUGGUUUAAUUCGAAGAUACGCGAGGAACCUUACCCGGGCUUGAAAGUUAUUGACGAUUCUGGAAACAGGAUUUCCCUUCGGGGCAAGAAACUAGGUGCUGCAUGGUUGUCGUCAGCUCGUGCCGUGAGGUGUCGGGUUAAGUCCCAUAACGAGCGCAACCCUUGCUGUUAGUUGCCAUCAGGUUAAGCUGGGCACUCUAACGGGACUGCCUCUGUAAGGAGGAGGAAGGUGAGGAUGACGUCAAAUCAGCACGGCCCUUACGUCCGGGGCGACACACGUGUUACAAUGGUAGGUACAGAGGGCAGCCACCCAGUGAUGGGGAGCAAAUCUCGAAAGCCUAUCUCAGUUCGGAUUGGAGGCUGAAACUCGCCUCCAUGAAGUUGGAUUCGCUAGUAAUCGCGCA
rnacentral:rRNA from 1 species